rnacentral:rRNA from 1 species
AUGAGCAGCAUGAACGCUCUGCUCCUAAAGCUGGCCCGGAUGCCCCUCGACGAGCAGCAGAAGGACUGGCGUGACGAGGUGCGCGAGCUCUCCUAUGACAUGGAGGACUGCAUCGACAUCUUCACCGACAACCUCGACAGCAGCGGGGACUCUAAAGCAGGGCUUCUAAGUGGACUCAAGAAGCUCGCGCGCUACAAAAUUGCUAGCCGGAUCCAAGAAAUGAUGGCUCGGGUGGUGGAAGUAAGUGAUUGUCAUAGAUAUAAUAAUAAUCUUCAUCAGAGAAUUGGUGUUCCUCCUUGGGGCCUUGUGGCUAUAGAUCCUCGUCACCAGACACUGUACACAGAGUCUGAGUGUCUGACGGCUUUGUCAGCAUAG